rnacentral:rRNA from 1 species
AACCCACGGACCUCUAAACUACCGACACCUGCAUUAAAAAUUUUGGUUGGGGCGACCUCGGAGCACAACAAAACCUCCGAAUAACACAUGCUAAGACCACACAAGUCAAAGCGAGCUAACACUCAUAAUUGAUCCAAUAAUUUGAUCAACGGAACAAGUUACCCUAGGGAUAACAGCGCAAUUCUAUUCUAGAGUCCAUAUCGACAAUAGAGCUUACGACCUCGAUGUUGGAUCAGGACAUCCUAAUGGUGCAGCAGCUAUCAAGGGUUCGUUUGUUCAACGAUUAAAGUCCUACGUGAUCUGAGUUCAGACCGGAGUAAUCCAGGUCGGUUUCUAU